UGAUAGUAUGAGCAUGAUGUUCAGAGGAGGUAGAGUUAGAAAGGUCAUCUGAAGACCAAGAUGCCAUUCAGCACUGUGUUCCCAGCCGUGUGAUGGUAAUUUAAUGAUCACACUGCCAUCAAGCCAGAAACACAAAUGUUGACAUUUGAUUGUAAUGUUUUUCCUCUCAAAGUUGCUUCAAGUAAAUACCAAUGGCAUAUCCAAGCAAAUGAGGAAUAUACUACCACUAUUCUAGUUACUUUGUUAUUACAUGCAUUUAAGGAAAACAGAGACUUGCUACCAUUUUGAUAACUAUUUGAAGG